rnacentral:tRNA from 1 species
UAUUCGUAGGUGUUUAGGCAUUAGAAAUUUUGAUUUUCUGGGGAAUGGUGUAAUUCCAUUACGAAUAA